ensembl:lncRNA
AUGAAACAUUUGAUUCCACCAUCAUUACAAGGCUGCAAGGGAUCUGGAAAAAUGUCAUCCUGUCAAGCUGAAAAACCAUCUUCAAAAAGGUACAUUUGGACAUUUCUGUCAAUACCUAUUGUCUGCCUAAAAAUAUUGCCAAAUGGGUUGUAUAGGAAAAACACAUUUAAUAUAAACAGUUGGAGAGCUGACCUUGAGUGUUACUUUUGUCUUUUUAUCUGCAGGCACUAACAAGAACAGCUUGAUUGUAGAGAAGAGUCCACACAGCCAUACACGCUCACUGAUGGGACGAUGAGGAACAUCAUUCAUGGAUGCCACACAACUCAAAUCUACACGUCAUAUUUGUUCAUGUCUAGGUAAAUUUGAUGAUUUUGUGUUUUAUUAACUACUUUGUUUCUGUGCAACACUUAAUGAAUGUGACUGACUAAUUAACCUCUACACAUCUGGUAUAUGCUUUAAAGUUGCCACUUUGCCCAUUUGUUCAAUAAAUGUUGAAAUGUAUACAUCUGUCUGAAGACUUUCCUGAUUUUAUGUCUAUCCUUUUACAUUAACUUUAUUUUUAUCAUAAUUAACAUUAUUUUUUUUGUUUGCACUGAAAAGAGGACAUUAUUAAUUACGCUUAAAACAACAGCAGAGGUGUUAAAUACCCCAUAGUGUAAAAUCUGAACAACAAUAGCAUGUGUAACACUUUACACUUGGAGUGUAAUUUUUCUAGACAUUGUUUAAAAUGAAAUGUAAAAUGUGAAAAUGAAAAGGAUUUAAUUAAAUUCUGAUUUUAAUUCAGUGUGUGUUAUAUUUAUAUUUUAAUAUAUAUAUAUAUAUAUGUAUGUAUAUGUGUGUAUAUAUACAUACAUAUACACUUUUAGAAAUAACUGCAAAUUACAAGCUAAAUACAAAACUUAGUUCUAGAAUUUGCAUUCCGAGAUAGUUUGACAGCAAUUCCAACACAGCACAUAUGAGACCAAAUUGAAAAAGCUGAAAUGAACCUAUGUAUACACUGCAGAACAAAUAUUCUUGGAUCUUCUUGGGUGUCUUGGAUCGUUAAUUUCAAUUACUAUCAAAAAUGCUUUUGGAAAAUAUACCUCAUACAUUAAUGGCAGAAGUCUAUAGAUAUAUUGGAUACAUUGUUUUAUAGUAAAUAAAAGAAACUAUGUAAACUCCAUACAGUCAUAGGAAAAGUAUGUAGAUAUAUCGGAUAGCUGCUUUAAAUGAAAACAAAGUUUAUAUAAAGUGAACUAUGAAUUAUUGGGAAAAGUAUGUAGAUAUAUUGGAUAGUUGCUUUUAAGUAUUAUAAACAUUUUUUUUAUAUAAAGUAAACUCCAUGAAUUUAUGGAAACAGUAUGUAGAUAUAUUGGAUAGUUGCUUUUAAGUAUUAUAAAACAAUGUUUAUAUAAAGUAACCCUAUACAUUAAUGGGAGGAGAAUGUAUAUAAAUUGGAUAGUUGCGUUUAAUUACUAUAAAAGUGAGUUUAUUCAAAAUAAACCCCAUACAUUAAUAGAGAAAGUCUGUAAAUAUAUUGGAUAGUUGCUUUUAAUUACUAUAAAAGUAUGUUUAUUCAAAGUAAACCCCAUACAUUAAUGGGGAAAGUAUGUAGAUAUAUUGGAUAAAUGCUUGUAAUUACUGUCAAAUAUUGUUUAUAUAAAGUAAUGACUAUAAAAAUAUGGCUUUGCAAGCUAUUAUAAUGUGAUCUUAUUUUUUCUACAGUUCAAAAACUAAAUUUAACAGGAAUUUAAUAUUAAUAUAUUUGAUAAUCCCAUAAAAUAAAAACCUAAAGCUUUUAAAAUACGGUAUUUUAAGUAAUGUUAUGUAAUUUUUGUGUGUUUUACAUCUAAAAAUCUGUACUUUGACGGGGAAUUCUUGUGGAUUUAAUUGAUAAUGUUACGAAUUUACCAAAGAAUACUGUGUAAAAACAGAAGACUUUAAUUAAUUGUAUAAUUUUAAGGUAUUUCUACAAUAAUCUCCAGUUUAUAUGCAGAUUUAUUCAUUUGUUUAACAUUCUACAGACAUUUUUUAAUGAGAUUUUCUUUUCAUUCUUUAGCAGUGGAACGGUAAAAAUACAGAAAAUGUUUACAGUAAAUAUCUGUAUUUAAAAAACAGAAUUAUUCCGUAGAAUAACUUAAGGUUUUUUACUGUAAUUUGACGGUAAGUGUUUGGCAACUUUGCUGCCAGACUUUUUACCGUUUUUUUACGAUUGUUUUUUUACAUGCAUUUACCUUAAAUUUAAGGUUUCACAGUAAAAACACAUAGUUGUCUUAAUUUUAAAUAUGUGAAUUUUCUUGUCUUUUUACAUAGAAUUUAAUGUAAUUUAACAUUCAAGCCAAUUAAACAAAAGAAUAAUCCUGUAAAAAAGCCUAUAAUUUCUCAUUAUAUGAAUUUACAGAUUAUUACUUUUUAUUUUAUGGUUAAUGUUUUUUUAAUAAAAGUUUUUCUGUAUUUUUAAUGACAUUUACACGUAAUGUUAAAAAAACUGAAAAUAUCUGUAAAAUAAUACAGUAUAUUUCUGUGAAAAAACUUUUUUUUUUUACAGUGUAGAUUAUGCGGCAAGACAAUGAUCCAAAGCACAGAAGUAAGUACACCUCUAAAUGGCUCAAAUUAUUUAUGUUUUGGAGUUGACUAGUGAAAGUCUUGACUGGAACCCAACUGAUAUGCUGUGGCAGGACAUUAAAUUGUCAGUUCAUGCAAAAACCAUUCUAUGUGGCUGAACUUAAGCAGUUCUGCAAAGAAAGGCCUAAAUUCCAGUUAUAUCACCGCUUAUCGACACUAUGGUUGUGACAAUACACUUAGCUUACGAGAUGAGACAAAAUACAGAUACUUGGUUCACUGAUUAUUUUGACAACUGAGUAAUCUGAUAAUUUUUAGUAACACAAACAGACCUAAGUGAAAACCAGGCUUUAGUAUAACUAUUUAUAUAUAACGAUAAGGCAAUAAUUGGCUCAAAUAAAAUAUCAAAACCAAGAAAUUACAUGAUUGUAUUGAACAACACU